CCCUUAGACGUUCUGGGCCGCACGCGCGCUACACUGACAAAGGCAACGAGCUACUCUUCACCGAAAGGUGUGGGUAAUCUUUUGAAACUUUGUCGUGCUGGGGAUAGAUCCUUGCAAUUUUUGAUCUUAAACGAGGAAUUCCUAGUAAGCGCAAGUCAUCAACUUGCGUUGAUUACGUCCCUGCCCUUUGUACACACCGCCCGUCGCUACUACCGAUUGAAUGGUUUAGUGAGGCCUUCGGAUCCGCGACUCGUUUGUGGAGAAGUUGGACAAACUCGGUCAUUUAGAGGAAGUAAAAGUCGUAACA
rnacentral:rRNA from 1 species